UACGUAGGGUGCGAGCGUUAAUCGGAAUUACUGGGCGUAAAGCGUGCGCAGGCGGUUUUGCAAGGCAGAUGUGAAAUCCCCGGGCUUAACCUGGGAACUGCAUUUGUGACUGCAAGGCUAGAGUGUGUCAGAGGGAGGUGGAAUUCCGCGUGUAGCAGUGAAAUGCGUAGAGAUGCGGAGGAACACCGAUGGCGAAGGCAGCCUCCUGGGAUAACACUGACGCUCAUGCACGAAAGCGUGGGGAGCAAACAGG
rnacentral:rRNA from 1 species